GCCUUACAGGCUUGCUUGCCCACAGCCCUAUCUUAAGGAUGCAUUUUUACAAUUGUAGCUUCCUACGCCAGUGAUUAGCUUGUGUCAAGUUGACAUAAAAGUAGCCAGUGCACACUCAUACAAGGUACUAAAACAUGCGAGUAAAAAAUGAGAGUUCACAAUCAAAUAUUUUAAUUUUUAGGUGUAACAAAACCUGUCUCAUUUGAAGGUGCUUGAACAAAUACUUUCCAAAAACUUGUCAUGGAGAGUGAGUGAAACAAGCUACCAGGACUACAUUUGCAAAGAACAAGCAUGUAGGUGGCUGUAGUGGAUGUCCAACAUUGGGAGCUGUGAUUUCUAAAAACCCUUCAUUGUUUUGUGUAAGUUUGCUUGAUCAGUCAUGUCUCUGGAUUUGAAUAAUGUUUGAUAACACUGAGGGACUGGAGCCACUUUGUUUUGAAGAUCAUUAGGGUCACCUGGGCCUAGUUUGAGAUGGAAAAAAAAUGAUUUUGGGCUUCUGACUGUCUUUUUCUUUUGGGAAGGUGCAGCUCACAUUUUGGAAGGUAAAAUGAAGACCAUGAACAAAGUCAAGAAACCACGAACAGAAGCAAAUGAUGAAAAUUAGUAUUUAAUUUGAUAUUAAUAAAAUAAGUUAUGUAGAAAUAGUUAAUCUU
rnacentral:lncRNA from 1 species